CCAAAAUUUUUUUGCCAAAAGUUAAAUCUCCCACUUUUUUUUCCCACACCAAUUCGCACUUUAGGUUGGCCGAUAAAAUUGGCCUCUAUGAUUUUAGUUGACCCCUCCCUCUCUCUCUCUCUCUCUCUCUCCAUCUUUUCCUCGUCGAACAAAUUGCAGAUCUGAUUCUUUAGCUCACCGGAUGGAUGCCAAGCCCAAACCCUCUCAUCCUUUCUCAAUGCCGUCCCCGCCGCCCCUAGAUACCUCCGCGAUUGAGUAGCUCUAUCGCCGCCAGUCCUGCAACCACGCGUGCCUCGCAGCACCACCCGCCCAGCGACCACGCGAACGACGAGUUGUGCGUCGCGCACAUGAUUGGGAACCUUUGCCGCGCCACAGCUUUCCAUUAAGCCCUUCAUCAAUAGCAGAGCCUCCGGUAUGCUCGCUACUUGUGUCACCCAACCCAUCGAUAUGAUCAAGGUGAGAAUUCAAUUGGGUCAAGGAUCAGCUGGACAAGUUACCAGGACCAUGAUCAAGGAGGAGGGUUUCGGUUCAUUGUAUAAGGUGCUUUUGUAGAGCAUCGUCCCAGACUUAUACUCAGGUUAAUAAUCCAAGAAUUGUUCGUAUAAAAUAGAGUAGUAGUGCUUGCCAUGAGCUUUAUAGUGGAGCUCCCAAGCUAGAUGUCACUCCGAAGUUUUUAAUGAUGGAUUCCUCUUCUGGUAACCACAAAACUGAAAAGGGAGGAACCUCGACUUCAAGUGUUCCUGCUAAUGGGGAUAUGUUUGGACGAGUUGUAAGUGGUACUGGUGAGACUGAAGGUAAGGAAUACAUAUCAUGCCAAUCAGAUAUGUGUUCCUUUCCAGUAAUCCAAUUGAUUGUUUGGAGUGGAAUUAUAACAAAGAGAAGAGGCAAGGUCUUGUGGAGUUUCUUACACCUGAAGAGGCUUUGGUUGUCAUUUGAUGGCAGUUCAUUCUUUGGUUCUAUGAGUGAGACCCCAAAUUUCAGAGUUUUGGGUGAAAAAGAAGGGCCUUGUUACAGUUGGCAUUGGUGGUCCAAACGGUUCUGGUAAAACAUGGUAGGUGCACAGUUUUCUCCAGACGAAAAGCAUUUGCUGCUUCUGUUUGUUCAAUUGUUAAUCUUAUUAUAAUUUUUGAUGUCCUGUUUUUGACUAUCAAGAAAAGAAACUCGUUGGUUCAAAAUUACACUCUUUGCUGGAUAUUCGAGUUGCAGUGGUAUCUUAUUCAUUACAUGCCACAUUUUGUUCCUUUUAAUUUCUUAACAUUUCACUUUUGAGUUAUGGAGGUGAGACACAUUCUGCUUAUUUUGUUGUGUCUUUCUUCUUUGAUAUGCAGGUUGGGGCUUCUUUGCUUCGCUUUAUCAAAGUCCUUCCUAUUAUUUAUCAAUUAGUGACUUGCAAAGGGAAGGGUUAUAUCAGUGGUUGCUUCGAAUAUAGCUAUUUGUUCAGAUAUAUAUAGCUCAUGGAAAUGAAAAACCAAGGCUUUUGAAUAGAAGAUGAGUAGAUACUUAAAGCCUUGAAGGUUGUGAUUGGAGAUAUUGGGAAUCAGAUUAAGCAACUAUAAACCUACAAGGUGCAGUAGAUUGAAUUACUUGACUAGAAUUGUUGAAUUGUAAUUUGUUACACUUUAGAAAUUUUUUUGUAUAUGUAUGGAUAUGAUAUUCUAAUUCAGUUAAUAUUGCAUU